UACGAAGGGUGCAAGCGUUAAUCGGAAUCACUGGGCGUAAAGGGUGCGUAGGCGGGUCUUUAAGUCAGGGGUGAAAUCCUGGAGCUCAACUCCAGAACUGCCUUUGAUACUGAGGAUCUUGAGUCCGGGAGAGGUGAGUGGAACUGCGAGUGUAGAGGUGAAAUUCGUAGAUAUUCGCAAGAACACCAGUGGCGAAGGCGGCUCACUGGCCCGGUACUGACGCUGAGGCACGAAAGCGUGGGGAGCAAACAGG
rnacentral:rRNA from 1 species